ACCUCCUGGGUCCUUAAAAUCGAGUCCUGAGUUCCAGAGGGGUCACUGCAAGGCAGCAGGGAAGGGAGAGGGUCACAGUUUCACUCUGUGAGUAUCAGACACCCAGGGCCAAGGCCCAGACUGGCCUCUGAAGCUACAGGUUAGAGUCUGGGUACAGGAGGCAGCCGAGAUGGUCCCUGAGAACAGACAGUCCCGGUCCCCCGGAGCAAGCUCCAUCCUCUGCAGAGCUGUGAGGUCAGUGCCCCACAUCCUGGGGCAACGUGAAGUCCCUGAAGCUGUAGAAGGAGAUGUCACCAUGAUCCACCAGGGCAAAGAUCAGAGGGACAUCCCCACUCUGGAGCCAGUUCCUAACCACCAACUCCUGGCGGUCAAGGUACUGCAGAGACGGCACUGCUUGGAAACUUACCGGGCACCUCCAUCAGGAAGGUGUGUUGUCUGCAGCACAGAGAUAUGCUGAAGGACCACGGCUACAAGGACACAGAAAACAAGCUGGAGCACCGCUGCACCUCGGGAUCGGCGUUGACAUCUUCCUGGAACUGCGCGGCCUCCGCGUGGUGCUCCCGUUCCCGCCUGGAGAGCUUCUCCUUGCGCUGGUUCAGCUUCUGGCACCAGGACUCAGCGUCUGUCUCCCGCCCAGCCACGUUGGCCGGGAGCAGCUCUGGGGCUGGGGCG
rnacentral:lncRNA from 1 species